rnacentral:rRNA from 1 species
CGGGUUUAGGCCCGUGGCGAACAACUCAAUAACACGUGGCCAAACUGGCCCUGUGGACGGGGAUAAUCUCGGGAAACUGAGGCUAAUCCCCCGAAGGGCUUCCAUCCUGGAGUGGAGGAAGUCCAAAAGUUGCGCUGCGGCACCACAGGAUGUGGCUGCGGCCGAUUAGGUAGACGGUGGGGUAACGGCCCACCGUGCCAGUAAUCGGUACGGGUGAUGAGAGUCAGAGCCCGGAGACGGUAUCUGAGACAAGAUACCGGGCCCUACGGGGCGCAGCAGGCGCGAAACCUUUACUCUGCACGACAGUGCGAUAGGGGGAUUCCGAGUGCGAGGGCAUACAGUCCUCGCUUUUCUGGACCGUAAGGAGGUCCAAGAAUAAGGGCUGGGCAAGACCGGUGCCAGCCGCCGCGGUAAUACCGGCAGCCCGAGUGAUGGCCGAUAUUAUUGGGCCUAAAGCGUCC